CACACCCCUUCCCAGACCUCAUUUAAGGGUUGGCAGUGGAGGAAAGGGUAACUCUCUGAAGAUUCUUAUGUACCUAAGGCCUUCUAAAGACUGUAUCCCUUCAACCUGAACCAACCCUUUUCUGAAGAAAUCUGUGUGGUCUGGAACAGAUGCAGAGAUAUCAGAGUUCACCUAGGACAUAAUCAACAGCUCCUGCAGUUCCUUCCAGGCUGGCGUUAACUUUUGGGCGUCUAUUCUCCCAGUGAACGGUGUUCUCUGUGCUGAAACACAUCUUGGCAUGGCGAGGAUUAAAGCACAGGAUUGAUUAGAGAGAAGCACUUUGAAAGAUUGUGCUGUAAGGAUACAUUUACAUCUCAGACACCAGUUCACACUAUGUUUGGUAACAUUAACUCCACAAACGCUAUCUCUACAAAACACUGCUGGAUUUAGAUGUAAGUGUACAGCCAUUGCCUGCCUGACCUCGAAGACAUUUUGUACAUGUGUCCUAAUUCAUCCUUUCUAUAGAAGACUUAAUGCUCCUGUUUUUUUCUGGGGGCACACUCCUGCUCUACCAGAAAUAGAUACCUGCUUGUGGUUAUGUUACAUCCCCUUCUAAUGAAGGUUGCAAGCUCUAGCUGAUUUUCACUUAUGAGCACCACAGUUAAAACAUGGUGAAUGACUACAGUGCUUGAGAAAGGAAAGAGAAACCCAGCCUUCAGUGUUUGGGGCAGAGAGCAGGAUGUAAUCCUACAAGUUCCUCCUCACAGAAGGUCUCAUCACUCAAAUACAUUGCAGCUCUGCUCCUCUGCCUGCUCUUGCAAAUACCCAUCAGGAAUGGUAUCUUUCACUUUUUGCAAGAAUCUCCCUCCCGUCCCAGCCCUGAAGCACUUUUGGACUACAUGCAACUGAUAAUUCUGAGAGCUGCCUUGGAAUAAACGUCUUGAUUUCCUGAAGACCUCAGGCUGGGGAUCCUGAAGCACAGACAGGAGCCACGCUUACAUCGCUUCCUUAAGGCAUUAAUGUGAAUUCCAGUUCUAGUGGCUAAGCCUGUGCAUGGAACUCCAAGCGCACCCUUAACAGUGGAUGCCUUGUCAACAAACACUUAAGCUUUUUAAAAGGCAAUGCAUCAACAUUGUUACCCUGAUCUGGGAAAGUGUAGCCUUCAGCCCAUGUGACAGCACAGUAACCAAAGUAUAUGCGUGAGGAGGCAUCAGAUGGGGCUCAAAAACCAUAGCAAAAUUAUUAUACCAUCUUCUUAAAGAAAAUAGUCAUUGUCAAGAGCAACUCAGCUCUGAAGGGCAAAAAAAAAAAAAAA